AGUCCUGUUCUAUUGCUGUUUUUCUUAAGAGGAUUUGUGUCUGAUCUUUGCCUAUAAUUUUCCAUAUUAACUUUCAAUUCUAUAUUAUUAUUGUUGUUAUUAACUUAGUACUUUCUCUUCUGGUUCUCAUAAACAAUGAGUGCAACUGUCUCUGCGUUUGGCUUUAGUAAUAGAAUGGUUUGAAAGACAGAAUAUGUUUAUUUGUAGUUUGUUUUUUAUCAGAGUGCUUGUCCUUGUACUGGUAGAUGUCCUGAGCCUGUUAAAUACUUCACAUACCUCAGUCUCUCUUUUUUGAAUACUUAACUGCUGGUUAAAGAAACUUAAAGCUUUGCAUUUUAAUAUAGAAGUGCAAGUGUCCAAGUGAAGAGGGUGCUCAUCUCUUCAGUGUCCUGUGUCUUGUUUGUGGAGUUUCCCUUCAAGUAAAAUCCUUUAAAUUUAGAUAUUUAAGCUAUCAUAAAUGUAUAUUUUAAGGAUAUUUAGAUGAAAUAAUCAUGCCUUGAUUUCUUCAAGUAUUUAAGCCCAGCUUGCUCAGUUUCUUUUUCCUAUUCCAUAAGCAUAUUCUGGUUUUUGCAAGUUACGCCUUUAUAAGCAGAUCCUCCUGCUUAAGGCCCAUUCCCACAUUGGGCCCAAACUAUCAGUGUGUACGAGAUGAAGAAACCAACUCAUACCAGAUGAUAGCCCUGAGAGCUUGGAACCUUAGCUUCCCUGCCUGUGUGUCAUUCUUGUGCCCCCGUGUAUUGAUACAAUCUGAGGAGUUUAACUUCGCCAGGAAGGUGUGAAACACUUUUACCAAGACGUAAAUUGCUGGUGGAAUGUUUUCAUAAACACUUCAUGGAUGGGAAGGCUUCACUUCUUUCUGUACCUUCCAGCAAUAGGAUUGAUUUAAAUCAGUUCACAUCUGUCUUUGUAUACUCGUCAUUAUUCCCUCAAAUUCUUCUCAAAAGGAAAGUUGAGACCACCUUGUUGAAGAGGAUUUGCACCAAGUCUUCGUGCCUGAAUAUUUCUGUAAUUGACAAAAAGCAUGAAGAGCAGCUAUAUCCCCAGGGCCUCCUGAGAGUCUCUUGGUUACUGGGGCAAGAGGAGUAUUUCAGUGGCUGGUUUGGAAAACUUCAGCCAGAGUCACUCAAGGUCAGAGGAAAGUUGGACACUUCAGAGAAACAAAAUCCAGAGAGGCAGCUCUUCCCCAUAGCCUGGAAUUACAGCAGCAUACAAGCUGACAGGUCUCAAAGUGGAUAUAGCUUUUUCCACCUGCAAUCAAAUGUAAUAAACCAUCUUCACUGCAGAAGUCAAAUUCCUGGAAAAAAAGAAGUUGGAAGCUCACACUUACACCAUAAAACCUUGUUUAUUGCACCCAUCAGUCUUGGAAGAUAUGCCCCACAAUGGGGUUUGGUAAAGCCAUUACAAGACCACCAAGGAGAAAAAAUACAGAGAAU
ensembl:lncRNA